GAUGAAGAACGCAGCGAAAUGCGAUAAGUAAUGUGAAUUGCAGAAUUCAGUGAAUCAUCGAAUCUUUGAACGCACCUUGCGCCCUUUGGACAUUCCGAAGGGCAUGCCUGUUUGAGUAUCAUGAACACCUCAACUCUCACGGCUUGUCCGUGAUGAGCUUGGACUUUGUGGGUCUUGCCGGCCUGUGGUCGGCUCCUCUCAAAUGGAUCAGCUUGCCAGUGUUUGGUGGCAUCACAGGUGUGAUAACUAUCUGCGCUUGUGGUUUUCCAUCAGAUAACCUUCAGUGAUAUGGAGGUUCGCUGGAGCUCACAAAUGUCUCUCCUUAGUGAGGACAGCUCUUUGAACGUUUGAACUCAAAUCAGGUAGGACUACCCGCUGAACUUAAGCAUAUCAAUAAGCGGAGGA
rnacentral:misc_RNA from 1 species